rnacentral:rRNA from 1 species
GACGAACGCUGGCGGCGUGCUUAACACAUGCAAGUCGAACGAAGAGCGAUGGAAGCUUGCUUCUAUCAAUCUUAGUGGCGAACGGGUGAGUAACGCGUAAUCAACCUGCCCUUCAGAGGGGGACAACAGUUGGAAACGACUGCUAAUACCGCAUACGAUCUAAUCUCGGCAUCGAGGAUAGAUGAAAGGUGGCCUCUACAUGUAAGCUAUCACUGAAGGAGGGGAUUGCGUCUGAUUAGCUAGUUGGAGGGGUAACGGCCCACCAAGGCGAUGAUCAGUAGCCGGUCUGAGAGGAUGAACGGCCACAUUGGAACUGAGACACGGCCCAGACUCCUACGGGAGGCAGCAGUGGGGAAUCUUCCGCAAUGGACGAAAGUCUGACGGAGCAACGCCGCGUGAGUGAUGACGGCCUUCGGGUUGUAAAGCUCUGUUAAUCGGGACGAAAGGCCUUCUUGCGAAUAGUGAGAAGGAUUGACGGUACCGGAAUAGAAAGCCACGGCUAACUACGU